rnacentral:rRNA from 1 species
ACGGGUGAGUAAUAUAUCGGAACGUGCCCAGUCGUGGGGGAUAACUGCUCGAAAGAGCAGCUAAUACCGCAUACGACCUGAGGGUGAAAGCGGGGGAUCGCAAGACCUCGCGCGAUUGGAGCGGCCGAUAUCAGAUUAGGUAGUUGGUGGGGUAAAGGCCUACCAAGCCUACGAUCUGUAGCUGGUCUGAGAGGACGACCAGCCACACUGGGACUGAGACACGGCCCAGACUCCUACGGGAGGCAGCAGUGGGGAAUUUUGGACAAUGGACGCAAGUCUGAUCCAGCCAUGCCGCGUGCGGGAAGAAGGCCUUCGGGUUGUAAACCGCUUUUGUCAGGGAAGAAAAGGUUCUGGUUAAUACCUGGGACUCAUGACGGUACCUGAAGAAUAAGCACCGGCUAACUACGUGCCAGCAGCCGCGGUAAUACGUAGGGUGCAAGCGUUAAUCGGAAUUACUGGGCGUAAAGCGUGCGCAGGCGGUUAUGCAAGACAGAGGUGAAAUCCCCGGGCUCAACCUGGGAACUGCCUUUGUGACUGCAUAGCUAGAGUACGGUAGAGGGGGAUGGAAUUCCGCGUGUAGCAGUGAAAUGC